rnacentral:misc_RNA from 1 species
AUUAUGGUUCCUAAAUGCAUCAGUGCACUGCUGCUAAUCUUAUUUAAUCUGUUGCAGACUAGGCCUAAGAUCUCCGGUGAUGAUACUGAAAGAGUCCUAGCUGCAUCUUUACCAGAAUCUCUAGAAGAGCAUCUCCCAUCCCAAGUUCCUGAAGCAGUUAUUGAGAAGAAGUCAACUCUAGUCUCCGAGGAUGAUGAAUCAUCCGUUGGUUUUGAGAAAAUAUUUGGGAAACCUACUGGUUAUUUGAGUAUAGAGGAGAGUGGUAAGGUGCUUGAUUUUGCUUGUGACUUGGUUAAACAGCGUGCGCCAGCCAUGGUUAUGCAGGCUGCUCUUCAGCUGUGUGCACGCUUGACAAAAACACAUGCUCUUGCCAUUCAGUUUCUUGAAAAUGGAGGAAUGACUUCUCUUUUUGAUCUCCCAAGAUCUUGUUACUUCCCUGGAUAUGACACCAUGGCAUCUGCCAUUGUUAGGCAUCUUCUUGAAGAUCCUCAGACCCUGCAAACAGCCAUGGAGAUGGAGA